CCCACUCUCAAAUCUUCUCCAAUCAUCUCCAAACAGUAGAUUACUUCAAUAUCUUGGAGAAAUGGGACCCAAGAGAGCCGUAGCCAAGCGAUCCGGGAGAGUCUCACGAUCUUGUUCAGAGCCUAGGAUAUGUAUCUAGUUCUCAUAUGUAUUUUGUGUUGAUCAUGUAUUUUGAACCUUGAUUGAGGAACAUUGUAUUUGCUUUUGUUUUUGGCAUGAUUGUACUAAAAUGUUCCUAUUUUGAUCAAUGAAGUUUGAAUGUUUGUUAUUGUGUCUUUUCCCAUGUACCUAUUUGAUGAUAACAAAAAGGGGGAGAAGUAAAGAAAGAGUAAUAGGGGAGAAGUAAAGAUAGAGUAAAUAGAGUAACAAAAAGGGGAAGAAGUAA
rnacentral:lncRNA from 1 species